AUCUACUCAAAGUGCUUGGGUGGAGGUAUGCGUUUGGGGCCGGGGGCGUGCGUCUCGUGCGUACGUUCUCGCGCUUUGGCGCUUCCUCUUUUGCUCACCUCUGUGCUCUUACUCGGAGGGGGUGACUUCUGUGUCACCUUGAGUAAAUCAUGGUGCUCACAGCAGUCGUGCGGGCCCUGUGCCCUGUGAACAGUCUAUGCGGACUGAAUUGGUUUUGCAAGGCAUGACGAAACAUGACGUCGCUGCUGGUCGCGAGUGUGAGGGCGCAGUCCUCGUGGCUGUGCCGAGCGGUUUGCCAGUAGUGACGUAAUGAUCAAUGGAGACGGUAGCUGGCAUUGGUAUUGCGCGGCGAGAGGUGAAAUUCUGCGACCCCCGCAAGACCUCCUAAAGCGAAGGCGUCUGCCAAGGACGUGUUCACCAAUCAUGAACGAAAGUCAGAGGAUCGAAGGCGAUCAGAUACCGCCCUAGUUCUGACCCUAAACGAUGCCAACCAUCAAUCCGCGUGAGCACCCUAUCUAACGGGCUCGGCGGGCAGCUCCCUUCUUCCGGGAAACCAGAGUUUUUGGGUUCCGGGGGGAGUCUGGUUGCAAAGCU
rnacentral:rRNA from 1 species